UUUCAUCUUCAGCCAUUAGAUUCUGGAUCGGCCUGAGAGCUGAAGAAGGGACAUGGAAGUGGGUCGAUGGAAGUAAUCUGACUCAAAGCUCUUGGAUACAACAACCUCCUACCAACGGUCUCUGUGUGACUUCUGACAAGACAAACGUAUGGAAAGCAGUGAACUGUAGU